rnacentral:rRNA from 1 species
GACGAACGCUGGCGGCGUGCCUAAUACAUGCAAGUUGAGCGCUGAAGGUUGGUACUUGUACCAACUGGAUGAGCAGCGAACGGGUGAGUAACGCGUGGGGAAUCUGCCUUUGAGCGGGGGACAACAUUUGGAAACGAAUGCUAAUACCGCAUAAAAACUUUAAACACAAGUUUUAAGUUUGAAAGAUGCAAUUGCAUCACUCAAAGAUGAUCCCGCGUUGUAUUAGCUAGUUGGUGAGGUGAAGGCUCACCAAGGCGAUGAUACAUAGCCGACCUGAGAGGGUGAUCGGCCACAUUGGGACUGAGACACGGCCCAAACUCCUACGGGAGGCAGCAGUAGGGAAUCUUCGGCAAUGGGCGAAAGUCUGACCGAGCAACGCCGCGUGAGUGAAGAAGGUUUUCGGAUCGUAAAACUCUGUUGGUAGAGAAGAACGUUGGUGAGAGUGGAAAGCUCAUCAAGUGACGGUAACUACCCAGAAAGGGACGGCUAACUACGUG